GCCCUGAAGAGGUUAAAAUCCCUGAUGUCUCCAUAGCAUUCCAAAGUUGUGUGCUACUCGAAAAGCAUGGUGGCUGAUUUCUUGGAAGUUCAUGAAAAGCACAGCGUGAUCACAGAGGCAGAAGUCCUCCUGGGCUUUCAAGGGUCUCAGCUGGAACACUUGGGAUGGAAACACAAGCCUUUUCUGUUACUGCACAAAGGGCACGAUCAGCUUGCUGCAAGACAAAAGCCAAUCAUGCAGAGGCAAGACAGUGACAGAGAAAGGGCACUUUAUUAGAGCUUGUUAGCAACGGGGAAGAUGGCCAAAUAAUGUCUGAAAGAACCAUCUUACAGAACAAAGACAAUAGGCUAGUUAUAUAGGGAGCUGGUCUCUGGGUCGAGGAGGCAUCUGGUCUCAGGGUGGGGCAUCCAUCUGAUCUCCAGGUGGGGGCAGACAUCUGAUCUUAGUUCCUAGCAGUCUUUUGUUUUACUGGAUAUGCA